AAGACUUUAAGUUAGUUAAACUAAAAACCUUCAAAGUUUUCAACAGAGUAUUCUAAGUCUUG
rnacentral:tRNA from 1 species